GUUCGGGGGGAUGAAACGGGAAGCCGGUGCGUUGUACAAAAAGUGCAUACAAACCCGGCGCUGCCCCCGCAACGGUAAACGAGUCAGGUUCUGCAACAUGCCACUGUGUCUUGACAUGGGAAGGCGCAGAACAGGAAAUUUUCCACUCGUGAGUCCGGAGACCGGCCUGGAAAUCU
rnacentral:ncRNA from 1 species